rnacentral:rRNA from 1 species
UACACAUGCAGUCGAACGGUAACAGGAAGCAGCUUGCUGCUUUGCUGACGAGUGGCGGACGGGUGAGUAAUGUCUGGGAAACUGCCUGAUGGAGGGGGAUAACUACUGGAAACGGUAGCUAAUACCGCAUAACGUCGCAAGACCAAAGAGGGGGACCUUCGGGCCUCUUGCCAUCGGAUGUGCCCAGAUGGGAUUAGCUAGUAGGUGGGGUAAAGGCUCACCUAGGCGACGAUCCCUAGCUGGUCUGAGAGGAUGACCAGCCACACUGGAACUGAGACACGGUCCAGACUCCUACGGGAGGCAGCAGUGGGGAAUAUUGCACAAUGGGCGCAAGCCUGAUGCAGCCAUGCCGCGUGUAUGAAGAAGGCCUUCGGGUUGUAAAGUACUUUCAGCGGGGAGGAAGGGAGUAAAGUUAAUACCUUUGCUCAUUGACGUUACCCGCAGAAGAAGCACCGGCUAACUCCGUGCCAGCAGCCGCGGUAAUACGGAGGGUGCAAGCGUUAAUCGGAAUUACUGGGCGUAAAGCGCACGCAGGCGGUUUGUUAAGUCAGAUGUGAAAUCCCCGGGCUCAACCUGGGAACUGCAUCUGAUACUGGCAAGCUUGAGUCUCGUAGAGGGGGGUAGAAUUCCAGGUGUAGCGGUGAAAUGCGUAGAGAUCUGGAGGAAUACCGGUGGCGAAGGCGGCCCCCUGGACGAAGACUGACGCUCAGGUGCGAAAGCGUGUGGAGCAAACAGGAUUAGAUACCCUGGUAGUCCACGCCGUA